rnacentral:rRNA from 1 species
AACGGGUGGUAAUGCCGGAUGCUCCAGUUGGACGCAUGUCGUGUCGGGAAAGAUUCAUCGGUAUGGGAUGGGGUCGCGUCCUAUCAGCUUGAUGGCGGGGUAACGGCCCACCAUGGCUUCGACGGGUAGCCGGCCUGAGAGGGCGACCGGCCACAUUGGGACUGAGAUACGGCCCAGACUCCUACGGGAGGCAGCAGUGGGGAAUAUUGCACAAUGGGCGCAAGCCUGAUGCAGCGACGCCGCGUGCGGGAUGACGGCCUUCGGGUUGUAAACCGCUUUUGACUGGGAGCAAGCCCUUCGGGGUGAGUGUACCUUUCGAAUAAGCACCGGCUAACUACGUGCCAGCAGCCGCGGUAAUACGUAGGGUGCAAGCGUUAUCCGGAAUUAUUGGGCGUAAAGGGCUCGUAGGCGGUUCGUCGCGUCCGGUGUGAAAGUCCAUCGCUUAACGGUGGAUCCGCGCCGGGUACGGGCGGGCUUGAGUGCGGUAGGGGAGACUGGAAUUCCCGGUGUAACGGUGGAAUGUGUAGAUA